AUUCUUCUGUGUGGGAGGAAAGCCGACUGUAUCAUAACAGCUUUAAGUCUAUAUAUUUUAAGAUAUCCUGAGAAGAGGAGAACCUGACAAGCGCCCGGGCGACUCGACAUGCGCGGACAAAUGAACAACGAUGCAGAAAAAACUUUUACACUUCAAGACAGGAUGGAAAGCUUCAGUUGUGCACCUGCUAUUGUGGAAUGCCCUGGAGACGAUGACAGCCACCAUUAUCCUGGUCCAAAUGUUUUGCAAGCACUGGUAGGCAAAUGCAAAGUGGACAUCAUCUGAUGUUAUCUUAUGUGAAUGUUUGGAGGAGCACAGUAGGAAAGGAUCAGUUUCUUCACAGUUUUAUUAACAACUGAAGAUUAGAACAUCUUUAGUGGCUUUUCAAUUAUGACACCAUGCUGCACUUACUCUGAAAUUGUUGGAUUGAUAAAAAAAAAAAAAAAAGGACUUUGUUGAUUCAUUUAAAUGAAUGUUUGAAUUAACUGUAUCUUCCGGUGUUAAAUAUAUUGUGAUUUGUUUUUUCUUUAUAAGGUUCUGAGUUUAGAGAUUAGAUUAAAACAUGGCUGAAUGGACAUAAUUUAGCAUGAUACAUUACAAAUGAAUUUGCCUUAAUAUUCUCCCAAAUGUUUCUCUGAUUUGACAUAAUUGUGACGGUGUUUAAAUGCGAUAACAGUCAUUUUU